UGUGCUCCUAUGCAUCCUCAGAAAUCAGCAAAUGUCUUAUGAAACAACCUGAAAAUACAGAUGUCCUAGAAUGGAGGUGAAGAGAGCAUUUAGGAGGACAAUCUAGGAUGUAAUGAAGUUAUUCCAAGAGUUAGCACCUCUGUAUACUCAGGAUCUCUGUCCAGUGGAUCCCUUGCCAUUCUAAUCAGAGCAACAGCAACUACAGCAAGGCCAAACUGGCAGAAACCAAAGUCAAAAAGGACUGCCCUUCCUCCUUAGUCCUCUGUGUUCCUGGCUUUUCUUUGGCAGGAAUGCUUCAUAUAUUUCCUCAGGAGCCACGUACCUCUGAGCACAGGAGGUUUCCUGAAACCAGAGGUAGAAGGUUCCUGCUUUCAUACAGCAGACUCAUUUCCUCACUCAGGGAAUCAGGUGUUGCUUCACUCAUGUGGAAGUACAUGGCUUUUCUCUUCCUGUUCCAGUAGUUCCCACUGUGUCAGCUUCAGACCCAGCCAACACAAUUGCCAGUGCUACAUGGAGUGAGUCGCUUUGAGCCGCCUGAGGGAACUCAAAGGGCUUCUCACAGAAAAAAGCUUACGAUAGGACUGUGGCCUCAGCUGUGCGACCCUUUUUCCUGGCAAGCUAUGGCACUGGAUGAAACAUGAAGAUGCCCCUUGCGGGAGGGUAGGCUAGCACAAAAGCCAAAGAUGGAAGGAAAGUGGCCCUUACUUCUGUCUGCCAUUCAGGGGUCUAUCUCCCUGAACUACGGAUAUCCUAGCCUCAUGUAUGUGUUGUGUUAAUUGAGUACCAGCGCUCAGAGCAUUGGUUUGGAAAUUAGUGAUUCUGCGACUUUUCAAUUGUAUCACUUCGGGUAUUCACUUCAUCUCUCUGAGCCUUAAAUUUCUCAUCUAUAUGUUGUGGAUAGUCAUGCCUGUCUUGACUGCUUGGCCAAAUAAAAACUCAAGUUUUAAAUUCUGAAACCUUAGGGUUCAACAGCUGGGGAGGGAGUUUACAUGUUUUCUAAUGGAGCCGUUAUCUGCUGCAGGCAUUCAUUCCCCUCACCAGCAUCCUAGACAAAUAUCAUCCUCUUGAUUUGGUUGGAAUGCUGACAUGCCUGUGGAGCUGCCUUUGGGAGAUCUGAUUGUUAGAAACUUCUUCCUAUGCCCUCUAGUAACUUUUAUCUGUUUCGCCUCUGGACUCAACAAUAAAUUUCAUUCCUAAACUGU